UUGAUUUUUAAAGAUGUGCUGGCCUUUCUGGUAUGUGCACUCUUAAAAAACCCAAUAUCCACCUGUGCACUCAUUGUAGGCUUUGCCUAUGCUUUUUUACACACACCUUUGAUAUAUUUGAAUGUCAUUGAUUAACCAAUUGUAAAA
rnacentral:misc_RNA from 1 species